rnacentral:rRNA from 1 species
UGGGGAAUAUUGCACAAUGGCGGGAACUCUGAUGCAGCGACGCCGCGUGAACGAAGAAGGCUUUCGAGCCGUAAAGUUCUUUUAUAUGGGAAGAUAAUGACGGUACCAUAAGAAAAAGCCCCGGCUAACUACGUGCCAGCAGCCGCGGUAAUACGUAGGGGGCUAGCGUUGUCCGGAAUCACUGGGCGUAAAGGGUUCGCAGGCGGAAAUGCAAGUCAGGUGUAAAAGGCAGUAGCUUAACUACUGUAAGCAUUUGAAACUGCAUAUCUUGAGAAGAGUAGAGGUAAGUGGAAUUUUUAGUGUAGCGGUGAAAUGCGUAGAGAUUAAAAAGAAUACCGGUGGCGAAGGCGACUUACUGGGCUCAUUCUGACGCUGAGGAACGAAAGCGUGGGUAGCAAACAGG